rnacentral:misc_RNA from 1 species
GAUGAAGAACGUAGCGAAAUGCGAUAAGUAAUGUGAAUUGCAGAAUUCAGUGAAUCAUCGAAUCUUUGAACGCACAUUGCGCCCGCCAGUAUUCUGGCGGGCAUGCCUUUCUGAGCGUCAUUUCAACCCUCAUGCCCCUAGGGCGUGGUGUUGGGGAUCGGCCAAAGCCCGCGAGGGACGGCCGGCCCCUAAAUCUAGUGGCGGACCCGUCGUGGCCUCCUCUGCGAAGUAGUGAUAUUCCGCAUCGGAGAGCGAUGAGCCCCUGCCGUUAAACCCCCAACUUUCCAAGGUUGACCUCAGAUCAGGUAGGAAUACCCGCUGAACUUAAGCAUAUCAAUAAGCGGAGGA